rnacentral:tRNA from 1 species
UGGGGUAUAGCUCAGUGGUAGAGCAUUUGCCUUGUAUGUGAUAGGCCCUGGGUUUGAUCCUCAGCACUGCAA